rnacentral:tRNA from 1 species
AGGUAUAACUAAUUGAGUUAAAAGCUUCUAACUUUAAACUAAGCGGCGAAAUUCCGUUUUUUACCUA